rnacentral:rRNA from 1 species
AUUGAACGCUGGCGGCAUGCCUUACACAUGCAAGUCGAACGGCAGCACGGGAGCAAUCCUGGUGGCGGGUGGCGAACGGGUGAGUAAUAUAUCGGAACGUGCCCAGUCGUGGGGAUAACGUAGCGAAAGCUACGCUAAUACCGCAUACGAUCUAUGGAUGAAAGCGGGGGAUCGCAAGACCUCGCGCGAUUGGAGCGGCCGAUAUCAGAUUAGGUAGUUGGUGAGGUAAAGGCUCACCAAGCCAACGAUCUGUAGCUGGUCUGAGAGGACGACCAGCCACACUGGAACUGAGACACGGUCCAGACUCCUACGGGAGGCAGCAGUGGGGAAUUUUGGACAAUGGGGGGCAACCCUGAUCCAGCAAUGCCGCGUGAGUGAAGAAGGG